UUCAGCACUAGGGAAACACUUUACAGUACUUUUUGAUUUUGCUUUAAAAGCACCCUACCAAAAGAUGGCUGUUCUACUUCUGCUUUUUCCCCCCUUGAUCAACUUUGUCAUUUAUACUGGUGACUUUAAAAAA